rnacentral:rRNA from 1 species
UAUCUCUUGAAAUGGCUGACCUAUCAACUUUCGAUGGUAAGAUCAAAGCUUACCAUGGUUGUAACGGGUAACGGGGAAUCAGUGUUCGAUUCCGGAGAGGGAGCCUGAGAAACGGCUACCACAUCUACGGAAGGCAGCAGGCGCGCAAAUUACCCAAUACCGGCUCGGUGAGGUAGUGACAAUAAAUAACAAUAUGGGCCCUAGUGGUUUCAUAAUUGCAAUGAGAACAAUUUAAAUACAUUAUCAAGUAUCAAUUGGAGGGCAAGUCUGGUGCCAGCAGCCGCGGUAAUUCCAGCUCCAAUAGCGUAUAUUAAAGUUGUUGCAGUUAAAAAGCUCGUAGUUGAAAUUGAGGAAAAAGAUAGUUUGAAGAUCUUUGAUUGAAAACUAUUUUGUCCUUCUGCGUCGUGUAUACGUUUUGAGUUCUUUAUUGAAUUUGAUUUGUAACCGACAAGUUUACUUUGAAAAAAUUAGAGUGCUUAAAGCAAGCUUAUGCUUGUAUAUUGUUGCAUGGAAUAAUAAAAUAGGACUUCGGUUUUAUUUUGUUGGUUUUCGAAACUGAAGUAAUGAUUAAAAGAGACUGCCGGGGGCAUAUGUACGCUGGUGCUAGAGGUGAAAUUCUUAGACCAUCAGCAGACAAACUACUGCGAAAGCAUUUGCCAAGAAUGUUUUCAUUAAUCAAGAACGAAAGUCAGAGGAUCGAAGACGAUCAGAUACCGUCCUAGUUCUGACCAUAAACUAUGCCAACUGACAGUUAGCUCAGGAAAUUUUUAUGUCCUUGCUAGAAGUCACCGGGAAACCUAAGUCUAUGGGUUCCGGGGGAAGUAUGGUUGCAAAGCUGAAACUUAAAGGAAUUGACGGAAGGGCACCACCAGGAGUGGAGCCUGCGGCUUA